rnacentral:lncRNA from 1 species
GAUGGUAUACAAUAAUUUUGUUUAAUGAUGGAGGGAGGGAGGGAGGGAAGGAAGGAAGGAAGGAAGGAAGGAAGGAAGGAAGAAGGAAGGAAGAGAGGGAGAGAGGGAAGGAGGGAGGAAAGGAGGGAGAAAAGGAGAGGGAAGAAAGAAAGGGAAGAAAGGGAGGAAGGGAGAAAGGAAGGAAGAAAGAGGAGGAAUGAAGAAAAGGAAGGAAGGAGUGAAUGAAUAUAUUACAUUUCAUUUGUGUUCCAGGAUACAGCAUGAAUUCAGCUCUCUGAGUCCAGAUUUCACAUGCAUGAGGGAAGAGGAGUGCGCCAUGGACUCUGAAAUGACAAAGGAGAUAAUCUUUCAUUUCCAUCUGAAAUGUCAAGGGAGGAGGUUGGAGUGUUUGGGCCUGAAAAUACAUAACAAGAAAUAAAAGGUAUGAUAUUUAAGAUGUGGAAAAUACUACAAAUGUAUAAGAGAAAGUCAGUUGCUUCUGUGAAUUAGUAUUUUGUGGAUUAUUGGGAUCAAAUUAUGUUUUGCUUAAAUUUCAUUACCGAAUAAUGGCUCCUUUGGCCCAUAAUUUAAGGUGAGUGGCAUUUGGGGUGAUCCUGGCUAAUUGAGAAAUUAGUCAAGAUACUCUAGAAAUCGUGUCAUCAAAUACAAGGGAAAAAUAUUUUCCCAGCUUUCUGAAAAUAAACUGGUGAAAAAUGAAAAGGUCA